GAAGUGGUAGCUCAGUGGUUAAGACGUUGGACUUCUGCUCCGAAGGUUGAGAGUUCAAAUCCCAGCACCACCA